AGAGUUUGAUCCUGGCUCAGAACGAACGCUGGCGGCAGGCUUAACACAUGCAAGUCGAGCGCCCCGCAAGGGGAGCGGCAGACGGGUGAGUAACGCGUGGGAACAUACCCUUUGGUUCGGAAUAACUCAGGGAAACUUGAGCUAAUACCGGAUACGUCCGUAAGGAGAAAGAUUUAUCGCCAAAGGAUUGGCCCGCGUCCGAUUAGCUAGUUGGUGAGGUAACGGCUCACCAAGGCUACGAUCGGUAGCUGGUCUGAGAGGAUGAUCAGCCACAUUGGGACUGAGACACGGCCCAAACUCCUACGGGAGGCAGCAGUGGGGAAUAUUGGACAAUGGGCGCAAGCCUGAUCCAGCCAUGCCGCGUGAGUGAUGAAGGCCUUAGGGUUGUAAAGCUCUUUUGUCCGGGAAGAUAAUGACUGUACCGGAAGAAUAAGCCCCGGCUAACUUCGUGCCAGCAGCCGCGGUAAUACGAAGGGGGCUAGCGUUGUUCGGAAUCACUGGGCGUAAAGCGCACGUAGGCGGACCGUUAAGUCGGAGGUGAAAGCCUGGGGCUCAACCCCAGAACUGCCUUCGAUACUGGCGGUCUUGAGUAUGGUAGAGGUUGGUGGAACUCCGAGUGUAGAGGUGAAAUUCGUAGAUAUUCGGAAGAACACCAGUGGCGAAGGCGGCCAACUGGACCAUUACUGACGCUGAGGUGCGAAAGCGUGGGGAGCAAGCAGGAUUAGAUACCCUGGUAGUCCACGCUGUAAACGAUGAGAGCUAGCCGUUGGGGUGCAUGCACCUCAGUGGCGCAGCUAACG
rnacentral:rRNA from 1 species